AAUUCACUCGCCUAAGGCCUUAAACCGUUCCCACAUUUUCAAUGGUCAACAAGGAGGCCGGUCAGCAACGGUGGCAGAACGGAGAGAGGGAUCGAUGGAGAAGAAGCUAAGGAAGAGAUCAUAGAGGAGAGUGGAGAGAAGGGUGGAGGAGCAGAGCUUAUUGCUGACGUUGAAGGAGAUGAAGCGAGUGAGAGUCUGGUGAGUGCGGGUUUAGCAUCGAUGUUCUGCUACCUCUUAUUGGUAGCAGAGCAAAUCAUGUAUUGCAAAGAAAAUGAUCUGCCUUUGUUGGGCAUCUCUUCAUUGACAAAGUUAGACUUCAAAUGCCGCGUGAGGACAUGAAAUGAGCAAUAUCUACAUUUUAUGGUGGUUGUUUAUGGAAUGGAGGCUACUACAAACAAGAGUGGACAUAUGGUGGAAAGAGUUGUACAAGCAACAAGUGUUGGAGUUGAGAAAGGUUGAAAACAAUCUUAAGUUCAAAUAAGUAGCUGAUUCUUGCGUCGGUCCCUCUGGUUGCUGCUGGAGAACUUGAAUUAAAUCAUGAAUGUAAUUUGAUGCACUGGUCUCCUGAGGACUUAGAAACUAAAUUAUAGUUACAUUUCUUCCUCUGUAAGACAGAAGUAUGACGAAAUCAAAUUUCCUUUGAGUCUCAGUUGCUUACUUGAUUGGCCAUCCUAUUCUGGGGUAUUCAUUGGAUAUUGGAAAAGAGCAUGUCAAUCUGGUUGAUGAAAGGCUGCAGAAGCUGAUAUACAGUGGGCAGCUUGAUGCGAAGGAACUAGACAGGACGCUAGGCGGUCAGGUUCUUUUGGAUGGACAGAGAAGGCAUCAGUAAAUGGCUUUGUUUGUAAGCUUCUUUCUUCAUCAUCUGUUGUGAUGCCUCUAUACAUUCAGUAUGACUUGGAAGAACUGAAUUCAGCCUGGAGCUGGCUUCAUCAUUCGACAUCCUCUCAUUUCUGGAUACCACUACCACAACCAAAGGUGGUAACUGAUUCAAAGUCUCAGGCAAAGCAACGGAACAUUCAAACUUUAAACUAGGAAAGCCAAAGUGCAGUGUACGGAGGUUUAGUUCAGCAAACAUUGACAAUGGUUCAAUCAAUUCUACCUCUGAAUCUGAGAAAGCUAAGCACAAUUUGAGGAAAGAUACAAGCCACCCAGUAGACUCAGUGCAGGAACAUCCACAAAAUGAACUUGAGAAGAGGUUAAUCGUAAUUUAAGAAAGGUUUCUAACUCUAUACUGGAAGUCUCUGAUCGUGUAGAGGUUGAGAAUGAAAAGUCAAAAUGCAGUUUGAGAAAGGCACUAUCUCUCCAAUUCUUGAUGUUUUAGAACAGGACAGAAGUGAUUGUGCUGAGAAAACAAAUAAAGAUGCAAAAAUUGUAGUGUCCAAACAGCUAGAUGUAGAAACAUCUCCAAAACCAGUGACACCAGAUGGAUUAGCUAAUAAUGUGCUAAUUGAUGAUCAUCCUGUAAUUGAGUUACCCUUGCAGAUCAAUGUAAAAGAUGAGAAUGUUCCUGUGAUAAUUUAGAUAUGAGCAAGUGGCUAUGAUGCUUUUAUGACUGGGUGUGUCUUUGCCCAGGUUUGCAGACAUCUAGAUAUUAAUUUCCAAGGAGCAUAUGAGAUUUGAAGAAGACAUAAGAGUCUUUGAAGAAGAGAAGAAAGCAUCUAAAGCUGGUUACUAUUUUGAUCAACAAAAAAUACAAAAAGAAAUAGAAGAAGACAUGAGAGAGCAGUUUGAAAAACACAUUAAGUCCAUGAGAACAACUUUACUAAGUCAUCCAUCAAGACAAUCAAGAAGACAGUGAAGAUAUGAAGCAUUGUCUAAUUACUACUAUGUAUAUGAGAAGACAAGAAGAGGAAGAGGGUUCGAAGAGUAGUAUACUGUGAAUGUCGACUAAUCAAAAUAAUUUUUUUUUUCUUUCCUAUAGGACUAAAGUUCCAAAGGUUGUCAAGAAAAGAAACAAGCUAUUUUGUAU